rnacentral:rRNA from 1 species
UACGAAGGGGGCUAGCGUUGCUCGGAAUGACUGGGCGUAAAGGGCGCGUAGGCGGUGGACACAGUCAGGCGUGAAAUUCCUGGGCUCAACCUGGGGGCUGCGUUUGAUACGUGUUUGCUAGAGUGGGGAAGAGGGUCGUGGAAUUCCCAGUGUAGAGGUGAAAUUCGUAGAUAUUGGGAAGAACACCGGUGGCGAAGGCGGCUCUCUGGACCGAUACUGACGCUGAGGCGCGAAAGCGUGGGGAGCAAACAGG